rnacentral:rRNA from 1 species
GACGAACGAUGGCGGCGUGCUUAACACAUGCAAGUCGAACGGAAAGGCCCUGCUUUUGUGGGGUGCUCGAGUGGCGAACGGGUGAGUAACACGUGAGUAACCUGCCCUUGACUUUGGGAUAACUUCAGGAAACUGGGGCUAAUACCGGAUAGGAGCUCCUGCUGCAUGGUGGGGGGUGGAAAGUUUCGGCGGUUGGGGAUGGACUCGCGGCUUAUCAGCUUGUUGGUGGGGUAGUGGCUUACCAAGGCUUUGACGGGUAGCCGGCCUGAGAGGGUGACCGGCCACAUUGGGACUGAGAUACGGCCCAGACUCCUACGGGAGGCAGCAGUGGGGAAUAUUGCACAAUGGGCGGAAGCCUGAUGCAGCAACGCCGCGUGCGGGAUGACGGCCUUCGGGUUGUAAACCGCUUUCGCCUGUGACGAAGCGUGAGUGACGGUAAUGGGUAAAGAAGCACCGGCUAACUACGUG